rnacentral:rRNA from 1 species
GACGAACGCUGGCGGCGUGCCUAAUACAUGCAAGUUGAGCGCUGAAGGUUGGUACUUGUACCGACUGGAUGAGCAGCGAACGGGUGAGUAACGCGUGGGGAAUCUGCCUUCCAGCGGGGGAUAACAUUUGGAAACGAAUGCUAAUACCCCAUAAAAACUUUAAAUACAAGUUUUAAGCUUGAAAUAUGCAAUUGCAUCAGUCAAAGAUGAUCCCGCGCUGUAUUAGCUAGUUGGUGAGGUAAAGGCUCAUCAAGGCGAUGAUACAUAGCCGACCUGAGAGGGUGAGCGGCCUAAUUGGGACUGGAAGACGGCCAGAAAUCCUGCGAGAGACAGCAGGAGGGGAUCUUCGGCGAUGGCAGAAAGGCUGAAUGAGCGACGCCGCGUGAGAGAAGAAGCUUUUAAGGUCGUGAGACUGUGUUGGUAGAGAAGGUCGUUGAUGAGAGUGGAAAGCUCAUCAAAUGACGGUAACUGCACAGAAAGCGACGGCUAACUACGUG